AAUGCAGUCGAGCGGACGUUUUUGAAGCUUGCUUCAAAAACGUUAGCGGCGGACGGGUGAGUAACACGUGGGCAACCUACCUUAUCGACUGGGAUAACUCCGGGAAACCGGGGCUAAUACCGGAUAACAUCUAGCACCUCCUGGUGCCGGAUUAAAAGAGGGCUUCUUGCUCUCACGAUGAGAUGGGCCCGCGGCGCAUUAGCUAGUUGGAGAGGUAACGGCUCCCCAAGGCGACGAUGCGUAGCCGACCUGAGAGGGUGAUCGGCCACACUGGGACUGAGACACGGCCCAGACUCCUACGGGAGGCAGCAGUAGGGAAUCUUCCGCAAUGGACGAAAGUCUGACGGAGCAACGCCGCGUGAGUGAUGAAGGGUUUCGGCUCGUAAAGCUCUGUUAUGAGGGAAGAACACGUACCGUUCGAAUAGGGCGGUACCUUGACGGUACCUCAUCAGAAAGCCACGGCUAACUACGUGCCAGCAGCCGCGGUAAUACGUAGGUGGCAAGCGUUGUCCGGAAUUAUUGGGCGUAAAGCGCGCGCAGGCGGCCUUUUAAGUCUGAUGUGAAAUCUUGCGGCUCAACCGCAAGCGGCCAUUGGAAACUGGGAGGCUUGAGUACAGAAGAGGAGAGUGGAAUUCCACGUGUAGCGGUGAAAUGCGUAGAUAUGUGGAGGAACACCAGUGGCGAAGGCGACUCUCUGGUCUGUAACUGACGCUGAGGCGCGAAAGCGUGGGGAGCAAACAGGAUUAGAUACCCUGGUAGUCCACGCCGUAAACGAUGAGUGCUAGGUGUUAGGGGUUUCGAUGCCCGUAGUGCCGAAGUUAACACAUUAAGCACUCCGCCUGGGGAGUACGGCCGCAAGGCUGAAACUCAAAGGAAUUGACGGGGGCCCGCACAAGCAGUGGAGCAUGUGGUUUAAUUCGAAGCAACGCGAAGAACCUUACCAGGUCUUGACAUCCUUUGACCACUCUGGAGACAGAGCUUCCCCUUCGGGGGCAAAGUGACAG
rnacentral:rRNA from 1 species